CAAUAGUGUCCAUUAUCGUUUCCAUUUCAGUGUCCGUUAUAUCUGGUCUGUUAAUGGCACGAUAUGAAACAAGCUCUUUGUUUUGGUUACACAAUACAAACAUAUCAUCUUCCAAAGUAAUAAAAUUAAGAUACUGAUCAAACACCUUAGCCACUUGAGCUACAGCAUUCGCACCUAUGGCAGCAUUGGCAAUAUCUUCCAGUUUACUUCUUGAAAUGGCGGAAAUAAAGUUUAAAUAAUAAGAUUCAUAAAGCUGGUUUCGAAGAUCCUGGCACAUUCUGUCAAUAUUUUCUUCUGUUGGCAUUACAAAGUAGACAGCUGGAACAUCUGGAAUAGGAUCCCGAUCUGAAUGCAAAAGCAGAUGCAAAGUGAUUCCCAUAUCUCUCAGCUCUUUCACUGACAGCAAAGGUGAGAUGAUAUCUUGGCCAAAUCUGUCAUAAAUGAGAACCUUCCAUACCGGCUCCCCUGUGCUGUUUUUAACAGGAGGAACAUUGAAAUUCAGCAUACGUUUCAAAGCCACCGUCUGCUUCUCCCGG
rnacentral:lncRNA from 1 species